rnacentral:rRNA from 1 species
AUUGAACGCUGGCGGCAGGCCUAACACAUGCAAGUCGAGCGGAUGAAGGGAGCUUGCUCCUGGAUUCAGCGGCGGACGGGUGAGUAAUGCCUAGGAAUCUGCCUGGUAGUGGGGGAUAACGUCCGGAAACGGGCGCUAAUACCGCAUACGUCCUGAGGGAGAAAGUGGGGGAUCUUCGGACCUCACGCUAUCAGAUGAGCCUAGGUCGGAUUAGCUAGUUGGUGGGGUAAAGGCCUACCAAGGCGACGAUCCGUAACUGGUCUGAGAGGAUGAUCAGUCACACUGGAACUGAGACACGGUCCAGACUCCUACGGGAGGCAGCAGUGGGGAAUAUUGGACAAUGGGCGAAAGCCUGAUCCAGCCAUGCCGCGUGUGUGAAGAAGGUCUUCGGAUUGUAAAGCACUUUAAGUUGGGAGGAAGGGCAGUAAGUUAAUACAUUGCUGUUUUGACGUUACCAACAGAAUAAGCACAGGAUAAAUUCGUG